rnacentral:rRNA from 1 species
UACGUAGGGGGCAAGCGUUGUCCGGAAUCAUUGGGCGUAAAGAGCGCGUAGGCGGCCCUGUAAGUCCGCUGUGAAAGUCGGGGGCUCAACCCUCGGAUGCCGGUGGAUACUGUUGGGCUAGAGUGCGGUAGGGGAGAUUGGAAUUCCUGGUGUAGCGGUGAAAUGCGCAGAUAGUCAGGAGGAACACCGGUGGCGAAGGCGGGUCUCUGGGCCGAUACUGACGCUGAGGAGCGAAAGCGUGGGGAGCGAACAGG